rnacentral:rRNA from 1 species
CCUACGGGUGGCAGCAGUGGGGAAUAUUGCACAAUGGGUGAAACCCUGAUGCAGCAACGCCGCGUGAAGGAAGACGGUUUUCGGAUUGUAAACUUCUGUUCUUAGUGAAGAAUAAUGACGGUAGCUAAGGAGCAAGCCACGGCUAACUACGUGCCAGCAGCCGCGGUAAUACGUAGGUGGCAAGCGUUGUCCGGAAUUACUGGGUGUAAAGGGAGCGUAGGCCGCAUGUCAAGCGUGCUGUGAAAUGUCCGGGCUCAACCCGGGCCUUGCAGCGCGAACUGGCGUGCUUGAGUCCGCGGAAGGCAGGCGGAAUUCGUCGUGUAGCGGUGAAAUGCUUAGAUAUGACGAAGAACACCGAUUGCGAAGGCAGCUUGCUGCAGCGGAACUGACGCUGAUGCUCGAAAGCGCGGGUAUCGAACAGGAUUAGAUACCCCAGUAGUC